UUUAUCAAAAACAUGGCUCCUUGUAGAUUAUAGAUGGGGAGUCGGACCUGCCCGGUGAAUUUAUUUUAACGGCCGCGGUCCCUGACCGUGCGAAGGUAGCAUAAUAAUUUGCCUUAUAAUUGGAGGCUUGUAUGAAUGGUUUGACUUGAACAAAUCUGUCUCUUUAUAAUUUUAUAGAAUUUUAUUUUUAGGUGAAGAAGCCUAGAUGUAAUUAAUAGACAAGAAGACCCUAUCGAGCUUUAAAGAAGUUGGUAGAGUUAAGUGUUAAUAUAUAUAAAAGAUUUAACUAUUAAAAAUUUUGGUUGGGGCGACUAAGGAACAGAUAAAGCUUCCUGGAUUUAGAAUAUUUACAUGUGUUGAUCCAAAUUUUUUGAUUAAAGGAAUUAGUUACCGUAGGGAUAACAGCAUUAUCUUCUUUGAGAGUUCUUAUCGAAAAGGGGGUUUGUGACCUCGAUGUUGGACCAGAAUGUCCUAAAGAUGCAGAAGUCUUUGAGGGUUGGUCUGUUCGACCAUUAAAAUUCUACGUGAUCUGAGUUCAGACCGGCGUGAGCCAGGUCAGUUUCUAUCUUUAAUUUUUUGUGCAAGCUUAGUACGAAAGGACCAGUUUGUAAUAUUAAAUGUUAUAAAUGAAGUAAUAUAAUUGAUUCGUGUCAAAUUAGCAAAUUUAAUGUAAUUGAUUUAGGAUCAGUAGAUAUAGGUGAAAGUCCUUUAUUUGACCUGAUAAAGGUGGCAGAUUAGUGCAUUAGGUUU
rnacentral:rRNA from 1 species